GGCCCGCUAGCUCAAUUGGCAGAGCAACGGACUCUUAAUCCGUAGGUUCCCGGUUCGACCCCGGGGCGGGUCACCA
rnacentral:tRNA from 1 species